CAGUCGCCGCGGUAAAACGUAGGGUGCAAGCGUUAAUCGGAAUUACUGGGCGUAAAGCGUGCGCAGGCGGUUUUGUAAGACAGAGGUGAAAUCCCCGGGCUCAACCUGGGAACUGCCUUUGUGACUGCAAGGCUAGAGUACGGCAGAGGGGGAUGGAAUUCCGCGUGUAGCAGUGAAAUGCGUAGAUAUGCGGAGGAACACCGAUGGCGAAGGCAAUCCCCUGGGCCUGUACUGACGCUCAUGCACGAAAGCGUGGGGAGCAAACAGGAUUAGAUACCCCCGUAGUCCCUGUCUCUUAUAC
rnacentral:rRNA from 1 species